UUCGUAAAACAACACUAAUGCAACAACAUUUUUUUAUUUAUACAUGUUGGUAUAAUAUUAUAAUGUGUAUACAAAAACGAAUCCCUAUGUUGAGGGACACUGACCAUCAGACAAAGGCCUAGCUCUGUCACCAGAGUCGAUAGGGUGAAAAUACGUUACGGAACACCCUGUAUGGAUGUAAAUCGGUGGUUCUGCGCAGCAGUGUUGCGCCAUUGUAGGGGGUAAACGGUUAGAAGGAAACCGGCACGGCAGUCUGUAAUCGUUGUUUGGUUCUUCGCGUCUGGUGCGUCUUUCUAGACUACCUGUUGCAUCAUUUUAUUCAUACAGAGAUGUGCGAAUGAAAUUGAGAAAAACUCGAUUUGAAAUGGGAGGAAAAACAACACACGAGGUCGGACGACAUCCUGGAUUUAUUCAAGGGGAUGGCAGUCUUUAACAGUAUCUCGUCGGUGACUGGGGCCACUUGGCGUGCCGAACUUUAACACAGGGGAUGGCAGUCUUUAACAGUAUGUCGUCGGUGCCUUAAUGCUGUAACUAAAAUUAGUUUGGCGCAGAAAAUCCAGGCGGCGCUGGUGUCGAUACAACAGAUAUAAAUGAUAUCGGUGAGGUACACACACACACAAGCACAUGUAUUUGAUAGUAAACUAAACUGACAUGGAAACUUGCAAUAGAAAACCGACGCGAAAAAGCCAACAAGGCCAUAGGAGCAGCCUCCUCGCUCUUGAUGAGCUCCUCCAAACUAAACGUUGCACUCAGAGUCGCGAUUUAUUUAAUGUGCAUCCGUCCGACUCUCCUAUACGGCUCUCAAGUCUGGUGCGCCGCCGCUCCAACUCACAUCCAGUCACUUCAAGUACUACAGAACAAGGCUCUUAAAUUCAUCUUCGGACUUCCGCGAGACUACUCCACAGACAAACUCCACCGUAAAGCUAAACUACCCAAACUACUGGAAGUAAUUAAACUAUUUAAUAAACGCUAUGACACAUCCUCGCACAGCAAUCCUCUAAUCAGUGGCACCGACCCGAAUCGAUGGGAACAAACCCCCUACCAACUCAAAAUCCGGUUUCCCCUCUCCCUUCGCGAAUAAACAUCAUCACUAAUCACUACUAAUCGCUACAUAUCACACUACCUGGUCACAUCCUCGCUUUGUAAUGCCCCCGACCCCUAUGGGGUCGGGUUCUUUCAUGUUUCAGGUUUUUUUGAAAAUUUUUCCCUGAGAAACCUCAAGACAUCAUCUUCAGUCACCACUACAGAUACCUGAGGAAAGUGCGCAGCAGGCGACCCAGCCUCUCAGCCGCUGUCAGAUCAAGCCUCAUCCCAAUAUAAAAAAAAAACACACACACACAAGCACAUAGUCCCUAUAUUCGUGUGCAUCGUCUUAUUCAGUCUUAUUCAAAACGGUGAUAGAAAUAAUAAUGAUAAAGAUAAAAAUAAUGAUAGGGAAAAAAUUACAAUAUAUAAUGGGGGAAUGGAAAUAUAUUAAAUUUUUACUACAAUAUAUGUAUAUAUAUAUAUAUAUGUAUAUAAUAUAAAAAUAUUAUAAAAAAUAGAAUUAUAACUAAUAUAAAGAAGUAUAAUUAUAAUUCUAAUUAUAAAUAAUAUCAAAAGUAGAAGUAUACAAUACAUCAUACAUUCUGCUCGCAGAUUACAUUAUUAUACAUUAAUUUACAUACAUACAAUACGAAACAAACAUACAAUACAAAACAUACAUUCAAUACAAAACAUAUUUGUUAAACAUACCAGUCUAUAACUAAGAAAGAUAGUAAAAUCAAAAGUAAUAUUUUUUUAUGAUAACAGACUAAUCUCCGGAUGGUCCAAGAAGUGCUGUGAAGUCUACGUGUCCCAUGAUGCCACUCUUACUGUCUAUUCCCCCAGUGCAGUCAGGUUUGCCUGUAAGAACAAAAUUAAAUAACAUUAUAGAUACAUUUCAUGCUAGAAGUAUUAUUAUGUAUUUUCAGUAUACAGGUAUAACAGAAAACUUACAUUCUUCUUCUUCUUCUGGUAUUUCCAUCCGGGUGUCUUGCUGCUCUAUUUUAAUAGAGGCAGCCUCUGACACUGUGUAAUAAAUAUUUUCAUUAACAAUUAUCUGCAAACGCAACACAAAUUAUGUAAGAGUAUUACGUGUGGCUGCUGCAGAUCACCUGGGAUUUCAGCUGUUCGGGUGAAAGCAGUGACAAAUUAGGGUUGUCACAUGCUUCCACCCACUGCACCAUCCUCUUCAUGUCCACAGAGGGAAAGUUGAAUGUAUUCAGAAGUUCACUUCUGCAUCCUCGGACACUGCAUUUUUUCUCCUUCCUUCUUUAAAGAUACAUUAUAAUAAUUACAAUCUUAUCUUAGAAACUGCUUAAAUUAAAGCAAACAAUAUAUUAUUAUAACACCAAUGUAAACAGUUAUUGUUUUCAAUAACAAUUUAAAAAAAUUCUGUACUUACUUAAUUUCUAUCUUCUUGUGCUAUUGCUGCAUCUCAUUGUCCGCAGAAAUAUUGAAAAAAUCUGAAAUAAAUUAGAAGAAACCUGAAAAAAA